GGACCCGUAGCGCAGCCAGGACAGCGCAUCGGCCCUCUAAGCCGGUGGUCGCGGGUUCAAAUCCCGCCGGGUCCG
rnacentral:tRNA from 1 species